ACAACACUUUUGACAACGCCACGUGGCGCGUUGUACUUGGUUGGGUUUGAAUUUAUUUUCUUAAUAAGAAAAUCUGCUUUGGAUGAGUUUCCCAAACUGCCCUGCUUCAUUUUUCACUUAAUCCUUUGUCCAGAAUAGUUGGUGCUCAUUGCUAGGGAUUUCUUUUUCAAAUUUUCGUUGUCUCUCCUUCACACAGUCGUUCUUCUCUGCCCCACCACUCUCGUUCUCUGUUCCAUCACUCUCGUUCUCCUUCACACUCUCUUUUUCGUCUUCCAUUUUCAGGUUUUUGAUUUUCAUUUCAUUUUGUGUGUUUGUUGUGUUGACUGUGUACCCAUUUGAGUUGGUGUGGUGCAGUUUUGUUUGUGGAGUUCGUGGUCUGCUUUAACCGGUCUCAAUGGAAGGGUUUUUUGAAGUUUGUGGUUCUUUGUUCGUUAUUUUGUACAAUGGCUUCGACCCCUGACAUUGGUUCCUCCAACAAGGUUUGGUUUUGUGAUCGUUUCGUUCCUUCUAAUAAUUUAGUUCAUAAAUACCCUAGAAUUUUGCAUUGGAUUAAUGUGAAUGUAGGUGACAAUUUCAUAAAAUCUACAAUGGAGUCGGGUGUGAAAUGAGUCAGCCAUUUGUGAGAGCAUCAUUUAGUCCAGCUGGAGAGGAAGAAAGGAAGAAAGCACAUUCAAGGUCAGCAACCAAUAAAAAACAGAAAAAAGAUAUUGAUGAUGGUUUAGAUGGUGUUUUAGAGGAACAAGUAGUUGAAAUUAAAGCACUUGAAAAAGAGUUUGAAGCAUUGAAGACUAAGUUGCUUGAGGAGAAAAAUAAAUAUUAUGGUGGUUACAGUACCCCAUGUAACCAACAUGAGAAUUGCAACAACUUUGGAUGUAGGGAGAAGAUUGCAGCAAUGAAAUUGUUAUGAAGUAUUACAUGCACCGAAAGCGAUUCAAAAGUGCAGUUUGUAAAACUUCGUACACCAGAUAUAGUCCCAAACUUUAAUUAUGGAUAGUUGUAUUACUGUAGUAUUUUGUAGAACUUUAAUUAUGGAACUUAUUUGUAUUUGAAACAAAGAUUUGGUUUGUUAAUAAAGAAAGUGGUUGUUAGCAAA